ACAUGGGAGAGUAUUUAUGCAUUCUCUGUAAAGUCAAAUCGCGAAUUUGGACUUCAUACGAAUCAAUGCAUGGAGGAAUUAGGCGGAACUAACGAAACUGAAAGUGUUUGGCGGAAGCAAUUGGCUGACGGAGCUUGCCGAGGAGAUACGGAACUUGCCGAGGAGAUACGGGAAGUGCCGAGGAGAUACGGGAAGUGCCGAGUGAAUGCGGAAAGAAAAAAAAACUCACAUGGCAAGUGCAUGCAUGCAGACGCACUGUGAAAGCUGAAGAACGCGAUCGCUGCAUUAAUAAACUUUCACGAUUGCAUGCAGAAAGUUUUAAGCUGCAGUGAGUAAGGAAGGGAAGGCACAUCAGCACUUGGUCAUCUCAGGGACACUGAUGGUUAUCAACCUAUUGCUAUCGCUGCUACUGGUAUCGCUACUACUGUUCAAGCGCUACAGUAUUGUAUUAUUGGGCAAACUGAAAGUUAAAAUACAAAAGCUGAAAAGCC